AGAGUUUGAUCCUGGCUCAGAAUCAACGCUGGCGGCGCGCUUAACACAUGCAAGUCGAACGAGAAAGUGGAGCAAUCCAUGAGUACAGUGGCGUACGGGUGAGUAACACGUGGGUAAUCUGCCUUUUAGUGAGGAAUAACCCUGGGAAACCGGGGCUAAUACCGCAUAAGCCUUAGCAGGGAAAGUCGAAAGACGCUGAGAGAGGAGCCCGCGGCCGAUUAGCUAGUUGGUGAGGUAAAAGCCCACCAAGGCAGAGAUCGGUAGCCGGCCUGAGAGGGCACACGGCCACACUGGCACUGAAACACGGGCCAGACUCCUACGGGAGGCAGCAGUGGGGAAUCUUGCACAAUGGGGGAAACCCUGAUGCAGCGACGCCGCGUGAGCGAUGAAGCCCUUCGGGGUGUAAAGCUCUUUCGGCAGGGAAGAUAGUGACGGUACCUGCAGAAGCAGCUGCGGCUAACUACGUGCCAGCAGCCGCGGUAAUACGUAGGCAGCAAGCGUUGUUCGGAGUUACUGGGCGUAAAGGGUGUGUAGGCGGUUCUUUAAGUUUGGUGUGAAAUCUCCCGGCUCAACCGGGAGGGUGCGCCGAAUACUGAGGGACUAGAGUGUGGGAGAGGAAAGUGGAAUUCCUGGUGUAGCGGUGAAAUGCGUAGAUAUCAGGAGGAACACCGGUGGUGUAGACGGCUUUCUGGACCAUAACUGACGCUGAGACACGAAAGCGUGGGUAGCAAACAGGAUUAGAUACCCUAGUAGUCC
rnacentral:rRNA from 1 species